ACUAUUGAAGUUUUUGUUGUUGUUGAGACUAAUGGAGAUGCAUUGUUACUUAGUUUAAAUUAAUUUUACUGUGACAACCAAUUAGAAGAAUUUUUUACAGUUAUUCUUUUAAAAAAAGUUUUAUGAUUGAUUCAUGUGGCAGACAGAUGAAUGGCUAUUGGAUAACAGUUUAAAAUAAUUUUACACAAUCAGUGCUAUUCUAUUAAACUCAUGAAAUUAUAACCAACAAAAUAGUAACAGUGUAUGUUUCCUUUUCUUUUUUUGUUAAUGUUUAUGUUUACGAUCCUUAAGGUAUUUUAUGAUUCAGUUUCAGUUUAUGUUUUCAGUAUGAUUAUUUGCGAUCCUUAAGCUAUUGGAGGUUUUUAUCCUUCUUUUUCAUUUAUAGAUUGUUUGGUGAAAGUUUGCAUUUUCAAGUUGGAGGGUUUCUUAAGCUUAAAGAACUUGAUCUCACUAGAUUGAAUCAACUAAGUUCUAUUACUAUAGAUAAAGGAGCUUUACUUUGUCUUGAACAUUUUAGAUUUAAUCACAAUCCUCAGUUGAAGGUGGUUCCACAAGACCUUCAACAUUUGAAAAAUCUUAAAUUCCUUGGAUUUGCUGAUAUGCCAGAUGAGUUGGUUGAAAGCAUUGAUCCAGAGAAAGGUGGAGAGUGUCAUUGGAUUGUCAAACAUAUUCCGCUUGUACUAAUUUAGAAGAAAGUAGGAUAAAAGAUUUCAUGAUUAUGAGUUGCGCUCAAUUCCUACUCAAUCCAAUGUCCGACAUAUUAAGGAUCUUUGUAGUGUUCGGUGUCUGUAUUAGUGUAAGUGAUUCAAAGGUAAUGCUUCUCUUAUGAAUAUUUGAAAUUACAUUAUAACAUGAUUUUUAAUUUUUUUUAUAGCAAAAUUAUAAUAUCUAAGUUGAUUUUGUAUUAUGUACCACUCCUCUGCAUAUCAGGUUGAAUGAAAGUGGCUAUAUAUAUAUUUUUGUUGUGUAUGAUGUUUGUAUUAAUUAAGUUAUUGUUUUUAUAUUUUUUUAUUUUCUCAUGCAUGAGUUUACUUUCUAGCUUCAAUAAGCUCUUUCAUAAACCAUGUAGCAAGAUUGUUUAAUAAGCAUUCAAAAAUUAAGGUCACAACAAGACUAAUUAGCUUGUUGUGUCAUUUGUAUAUAAUGCUCAAACUUGAUUGUUUCCUUUAUCUAUGUGAACAGAUUCAAUUCUCUAAGUUGCAGAUGCACUCUAUCUCUUCAUUCCUUCAUUUGAAUGAAUAUUUUUAAGAUUAAGGUGAAGUUUAUUUUAGCUUCUAGUUUCUAAGUGAUUCUUUUAUAUGAGAUGAAGUCCUAGUUGUAGUAGUUAGUUUAAUCACUCUUAGAUGUUUUGUAAAUAUUAUUACCAAGCUAGUGUUAAAAAGUAUAUAUAAUAACAAAUCUUGUUGUAUUAUAAUCAUAAUAAUAAUAAUUAUAUUCUUGAAAUCAGAUGGAACAAGAGGAAAUGUGAAUUCCACUAACAUUCCAACCGCAAUUGCGGUUACCUUAGUCACAUUUGCUUGCAUUUUGUUGUAAUAUCAAACUUCUCAACUAACUGAACUGCAUCCCCACCACAAUUUAGAACCACUCCCAAGGUAAAAUAUCAUACAAUAUGUUUAUUUGGUUUAAAUUAGACAUUUGUUUUUGUUGUCUCGGGAGUUGGUGUUCAAUUGGUUUGUAUAUAAUUAAUAAUUCUCAAUAAUUUUUUUUAGGUCUUAAUCAUGUGGUUCUCAAGAGAAAAGGGUCUUGAUAGUCUAGAGUUUAACCAGAAGGUAAGUAAAAUAUGACAAAAAAUUAUUUGAGUCGGAAUUCAAACUCGGGUAUAAUUCUCACUGAAUUAGUCGUUGUCUUAAUUGCUUAUUAUUUAGUACUCUACUAGAUAAAUAUGCAUAGUGGUCCAAUGUGAAUUUUUAAAAGCAUAUAUGUAAUGUAAGAAAUGCUAUUAGCAACAACAUAUAAUGUAGUUCUUAGGUUUGCUUACACACAAGUAACAAACAUAUUAGGUUGCUGACUCCAACUUUGAUCAACAUAUAAAUAACACC